CAGGGAUCGAACUCGGGACCUUGUGCCUGCAAGGCAGGCGGUGGAACCACUGAGCUAAAUCCCCAGCCCUCAUAAGUGGGCUUUUAAGAAGUGAUUGGAUAAUGGUGGCAUGAUACUCGUCAGUGGAUUAGUCUACUGACAAAAUUUCUUGAAAAGCCUGAAGUCAGGACUGGGCUUUGAUCGAGUUAUGACUGUUGUCAGCAGAAGACAAGACUCCUUCCACAAUUGCUGGCACAGCCCAAUUCCUCUUGAUGAAGACAGUAAUGAGUCAUGCCAUUGCAUGGACUGUUUUCAGGAAGGCAGUCAAACCAGGACGGGACGAUGUGUUUCGAUUUUCUGUUCUGCCGUCCAGUCUGAAGUGGGGGCAGCAACAGGAAAAGAACCUGUGGUUAUCUUCCCAUCCCGGCUAAGUCAGGUCCUGGACCGUCCAAAGUUGGACUUUGGCACUUUCCCUCUCAGCAACAUUCGAAAGGCUCCCUCGAAGAAUACGAUUUUGUGCUUAAGAGGAAGAGCGCUGGGAGAUGAGCGAGGGGGCGAGCGAGCCGGAAAGAGGAGCGCGGAGAGCGCGGCCGCCCCGCCGUCGGAGGCGCACAGAGC
rnacentral:lncRNA from 1 species